rnacentral:miRNA from 14 species
CAGACGUUGUCAUCCCCAGAUACAAGGGACAAUAUGCUAUUAUAAUUGUAUGGCAUUGUCCUUGCUGUUUGGAGACAAUACUGCUGAC